UGAUGGCUAAAAUAUUCGUUGCGUGUACCUGUCAUCAUCGUCCAGCAGCUGAAAAUAAUAACAAGACGAAAUUAACAAUUAGUCAUCAUCCUGGUCGCCAUCGCAUUUUUCCGUCGAUUUUGCGCGAGUGUGCUGCUAUUUCCCGUGAGUUCGGCUGUUCCCCGGAAGAUAUAAACGGUGCAGUUUUCCAGAGCGAGGCCAAACCUUGUGGCACAGGAAGCCGUUCCCUUGGAAGCACUGCAAAGAUUCUUCGGGAGUUAAAGUUGGAUGAACCAGCAGAAGAACCAGCGAUCGAAGGAAUCCACAGGGCCAAAAGGAUCGUGCGAAAGGGUCGGAUUGUGAGAGCCGACAUAAUUAGAUGACUGUUAUUGGGUGAAGCCACACCUUUCGGACGAGCAAAUAGAAACUGGCAUACGAGCGUGAGCAUACCAGCCUGAAGAGCAAAGCCUCAACCACUCCCAGGCCCCAAAUAGGGGUCUUUUUCCGGAGCUGAAAAUUGUGUCGUCCGAGGACUAGUGCCGUCUUCUCCCGGAAGCUGAAGCUGCUGCCGGUGGUGCUCAACUCCUGGUCAUCUGAUGACAUUGAGGUCGCUGCAAGUAAGAAAAGGUGAAGAAGAAUAAGAAACAUGUAAGUACUAGCGCUAGUCAGAAGAUAAAGAAGAAGCUUAAGUAAAGCAAGAAGAAAAUAAGAAGCAGGCAAGCAGGAAGAAGAAGCAGCAGUACAGAAGGAAGAAGAGAAGAGGCGGAAUGGAAGAAGAAGAGUAGAAGCAGAAUGGAAGAAGAACGGUAGAAGCAGAAUGGAAGAAGAAAAAGAGGAUGAUGAUGAGCGGGAGGAGAAGAAGAAGGAGAUUGAAAGAAAGUAUGCGGUCUGAAAGAAUAAGAAAACAAUGAUUAGAAAUAGAAAAUAAGCAACAAAUUUGUUUUGGUUUUGUUUUGUGGCGUAGUUUUUUGUAUGUUUUGGUGAUUUGUGUUUCCUCCCCCAUUGCUA